GACGAACCGUGCGAACGUUGUUCGGAUUCACUGGGCUUAAAGGGCGCGUAGGCGGGUGAUCAAGUCCGGGGUGAAAUACUUCAGCUCAACUGGAGAAUAGCCUUGGAUACUGGUCGUCUUGAGUGAGGUAGGGGCAUGUGGAACUUCCGGUGGAGCGGUGAAAUGCGUAGAUAUCGGAAGGAACGCCGGUGGCGAAAGCGACGUGCUGGACCUCUUCUGACGCUGAGGCGCGAAAGCCAGGGGAGCAAACGGGAUUAGAUACCCCGGUAGUCCUGGCCCUAAACGAUGGGUACUAGAUUGUAGACUUAACAUGGGUUUACAGUCGAAGCAAAAGUGUUAAGUACCCCGCCUGGGGAGUAUGGUCGCAAGGCUGAA
rnacentral:rRNA from 1 species